rnacentral:rRNA from 1 species
GACGAACGCUGGCGGCGUGCCUAACACAUGCAAGUCGAGCGGAGAUAGACUGAUGGUAACUGAAGCUUAUCUUAGCGGCGGACGGGUGAGUAACACGUGGGCAACCUGCCUUGGAGUGGGGGGAUAACACCGGGAAAUCGGUGCUAAUACCGCAUAACAUACACAAACUGCAUGGUAAGUGUAUCAAAGGAGUAAUCCGCUUUAAGAUGGGCCCGCGGCUGAUUAGCUAGUUGGUAAGGUAACGGCUUACCAAGGCGACGAUCAGUAGCCGACCUGAGAGGGUGAUCGGCCACAUUGGAACUGAGACACGGUCCAAACUCCUACGGGAGGCAGCAGUGGGGAAUAUUGCACAAUGGGCGAAAGCCUGAUGCAGCAACGCCGCGUGAGCGAUGAAGGCCUUCGGGUCGUAAGCUCUGUCCUCAAGGAAGAUAAUGACGGUACUUGAGGAGGAGCCCGGCUAACUACGUGCCAGCAGCCGCGGUAAGCUAGUCUACG